GACGUAGGGCGCGAGCGUUGUCCGGAUUUAUUGGGCGUAAAGAGCUCGUAGGCGGCUUGUCGCGUCGUUCGUGAAAACCUGGGGCUCAACCCCAGGCUUGCGGGCGAUACGGGCAGGCUAGAGUUCGGUAGGGGAGACUGGAAUUCCUGGUGUAGCGGUGAAAUGCGCAGAUAUCGGGAGGAACACCGGUGGCGAAGGCGGUUCUCUGGGCCGUAACUGACGCUGAGGAGCGAAAGCAUGGGGAGCGAACAGG
rnacentral:rRNA from 1 species